AUUUCGUUUGAAAAUGGCGGCGCCCGUCGAUGUAAAAGUGUGAAACAUAAAGUAUAAUGUGAACACAAAUAAUUCCUCAAGAAACGGAUAUCUGUAAAAUUGCAGCCAGCGUUGAAAUCCUGACUAGAGAGUUCCACUGAUUGCAGCAUGUCUAGUCUAUGUCCGGGAACGCUCUUCUCCUUCCCAGGGUUCAACAAGAAGUCCACCCCUGUGCCCCCUCAGACCACAUCCGAACAAAUAUCCAAGCGGUAUCGCCGGGAACCUUUCAAUGGAAGACCGUGGCCACAAACCAGCCCAGUGGCUGGAGUAUAUGAUGUGGGGUUCUCCUCCACCAGAAUGAUACUGUUCAACAACAGAAAGAAAAAGCAAAGCAAAUUAAGAGGAAACAAUGAUCCCAAGAGUGAAGAAAGUCUGUCUCCUGAUCCAAACAGACAUUACAGAGCCUCUUCCCCUGUUUCGAGAGAUCUGCAUCAUAAUUGUUACAACUCAAUGUCUCCUUACUACACUGAACCUAAGCUCAUCCAAUGGAUGAACUAUAGUGAAAGACCACCACCAACCUAUGAAGAUGGAACUCUAGUAAAUCCAAAGCGUCAUACAAGUUGCUGUGUUCCUACCGAUCCCCUGGCGUUCAGAGUUGGGGUCAAUAAUGACAGACGACCGUACAGUAGAGCGUCGCUUCCUCCCACCUUUCGUUCAAGUCCCAUGUUGAACCAUCCUGACCUUAAGCGAGGAGAAAAGGAGUACAUCGGCAGUAUCGCCAGAAUCUACAGUGCUCAGCAAAUGAUCAAGUUGAAGCAGAAACAAUACAAUCAGCUUCUCUCGUUGGAAAUGGAAAAAGGCAGCAUUUAGUGUUAGACUUUCAAAAAACCCAUGACGCCAGGAUAUUCAGAUUACAUCAGAAUGAUGUAAAUUAUGAACAGGCAGAAGGCUACCACACACCUGAAGAAUACAAUCAAUACAAGAAAUUUAUACAACUUGGGAGGAGACGUCAGUAUUCCCGGCCGUCUCGUGCGAUGUCUGCUCCCCCAGUCAGAUGGACAAAGACAUUUGAAGAGAGUUUGAAAGAUGAUGAUGAUGAUUAUGAUGAAAAAGAGCAAACAACCAAAAAAGAUGCAAGUCCUCGAAGCAAAUCUCCGGUCAACAGUAAAGGCAAGCAAGCCGGACGAGGACACUCUAGCCAAUCAGGAAAAAGACCAGCAAGGCCGUCCACAAGGGAAACAUCAAGAUCAAAAACUCCCACAAAAACUGAAGCUUCCAAACCAGAGCAAAAAGAUGAUGUAGCCUCCAAACCAACACCAGCCACUUCCCAAACUGAACAAAAGGAAGAAACACCAGCUACUCAGCAAACUGAACAAAAGGAAGAAAGCUCUGACACUUCUGAGAGUGACCAAAACUAUUCAGGCAAAAAUAUACACAGGGAAGGAUAUGACAGACCACUCUCUAGACUGGGCCACAUUCCAGAAGACUCUAAAAGCCAAAAGUCUGAACAAGAAACGUCCAGCAACUCUGAAACAGAGACAAAAAAUAAGGAGUCGUCUGUUCAGAAGUCUUCAACAGAGGAAAGUGAAACGCAGCCCACAAGUGAAGCAGACACAACAACGAAAUCUGACCAAAAUAAAGAAUCUGGUAAAUCUGAUGGCAAUACAUCAACAGAAGAUAUCUAUAGGACGUCAACAGACGACACAACAACAUGGUCGACAGACAGAGACAAGACAAAGUCUGACACAGACACAGAGACGGCUCCAAGAAAACUGACAGCAGACGACAAGAAGACAGAGACGCUAGCAGAAAACAAACCCAGCGAAUCAGACUCGUAUACCGAUGAUUUUGAAAAAGACACGUCGGAAACGACGGAGAGUUCAAAGAAACCUGUUCCACAGUCACAAGAAAGAGUGGUGUCGUUCAAGAAGGACUCCGACUCUGACUCAGGCAGUUCCUCAGAAGAUCAAUCUCCAGCCAAAAGGAGGGACUCUCUCAGUGAUGAGGAAGAUAUAAGUUCAAGGAGAGAUCCAGAUAAACUAGAAUACUAAAUUACAAAAAAAAAUAAAAAUUUAUUAUCAUCACAGUAUCUAAUGAAUCUGUAUUUUACACAUAACAGUAUUAAUGUUUAAAGAAUUUCACUUCUGCACUAUGACUUGCGUUUAAAUAUCAUCAUCAAAAGAUAAUACUUGUUUCAUUAUAAUUUUUAAUUAUUUAUGUUAAGUAGAUAGUGGCCAAUUAAUAUAGACGGACUAUUUUAAUCUAUUGAUGUUGUACAGGCUGUUUUUUAUAAUAGAUUUAUGUUUAGAUAUUUGAUUUUAGAGCAUUCAAAUGUGAUAUGUCAAGUAGAUUUGACUUGUGUGCCAAACAUGUUUUUAUAUAGGAUGGGAAUGUCAUUUGACUCAGACAUUUAGAGAUCUAGAACAGCUAUAUGAUAGCUACGUAUAAUAUACAAAUGUAUAUGUAUAUUGAUGUUUUUUGAUAUGUUGUAGAUGCACUUUGAUGAUAGAUAUGUCUAUUUUUUACAUUAAAAAAAUAUACAG
rnacentral:misc_RNA from 1 species